UAGAGUUGAAACACCAGUUCCCAUACGAUCACCGAAGUUAAGCAAUGUCAAGCCUGGUCGAUACCUGGACCUGUGACCCCUUGGGAAUACCAGGUGCU